rnacentral:rRNA from 1 species
GAUGAGCGCUGGCGGCGUGCUUAACACAUGCAAGUCGAACGGGAAUUAUUUUAUUGAAACUUCGGUCGAUUUAAUUUAAUUCUAGUGGCGGACGGGUGAGUAACGCGUGGGUAACCUGCCUUAUACAGGGGGAUAACAGUCAGAAAUGGCUGCUAAUACCGCAUAAGCGCACAGAGCUGCAUGGCUCAGUGUGAAAAACUCCGGUGGUAUAAGAUGGACCCGCGUUGGAUUAGCUGGUUGGUGGGGUAACGGCCCACCAAGGCGACGAUCCAUAGCCGGCCUGAGAGGGUGAACGGCCACAUUGGGACUGAGACACGGCCCAGACUCCUACGGGAGGCAGCAGUGGGGAAUAUUGCACAAUGGGGGAAACCCUGAUGCAGCGACGCCGCGUGAAGGAAGAAGUAUCUCGGUAUGUAAACUUCUAUCAGCAGGGAAGAUAGUGACGGUACCUGACUAAGAAGCCCCGGCUAACUACGUG